UACGGGGGGGGCAAGCGUUGUUCGGAAUUACUGGGCGUAAAGGGCUCGUAGGUGGCCAACUAAGUCGGACGUGAAAUCCCUCGGCUUAACCGGGGAACUGCGUCCGAUACUGGUUGGCUUGAGUUUGGGAGAGGGAUGCGGAAUUCCAGGUGUAGCGGUGAAAUGCGUAGAUAUCUGGAGGAAUACCGGUGGCGAAGGCGGCAUCCUGGACCGACAUUGACGCUGAUGAGCGAAAGCUAGGGGAGCAAACGGG
rnacentral:rRNA from 1 species